rnacentral:rRNA from 1 species
GGAUGCGAUCAUACCAGCACUAAAGCACCGGAUCCCAUCAGAACUUCGAAGUUAAGCGUGCUUGGGCGAGAGUAGUACUAGGAUAGGUGACCUCCUGGGAAGUCCUCGUGUUGCAUUCCC